rnacentral:lncRNA from 10 species
UGGGCUCAAUCAAUCCUCCCUCCUCAGCCUCCAGAGUAGCUGGGACCACAGGCAUGCGCCACCGUGCCUAGUUAAUUAUAAAACUUUUUUUAGAGAUGGAGUUUUGCUGUGUUUCCUAGGCUGGUCUCAAAUUCCUGUGCUCAAGUGAUAUGCCCACCUCAGGCUCCCAAAGUGCUGGGAUGACAGGCGCGAGCCACUGCACCUGGCCAAAAUAAAGCUUGACCUGAGUUGAUAUGAGGGUGAUGAGACUGAGUAAAAAGCCCAUAGGAUUCCAGCCUGUGUUCAUAAGAAGAAGCAUUUUAAUGGAGAGACUUUUUGUGAUGCGUGUACAGAGGACAUUAUUAGUGAAAUAACAGCAAACUUGCUAUUAAUGAGAUCUGCUCAAAAUCUCUAUGAGGUAGUGAAUGCCCCAUCAUGAAGAUUUUCAUGCAGAAUUGGGAUGACCUCUGUUCUUCAGACUCCAACAUACCAUCUUGAGAUAACCUCAGGCCCUGAAGUGUAUCGACAAGCAGAAUGAUCUCAGCCAAGUUGUAAAACUGUCUUUGAAAAGAAUAGCUGGAUGAAAAACAUUAGCAGCAACUGAAUCAAGAGAAAACGUGACUUCAAACUGAAAGGCACUCUCAUGGAAGACAACUCUGUUAUCUUUAGGAUUUCAGAUGCUUUUAGAAUCAAACCUGGAAAGGAUACAAAAAGCAGAAGCAAAACCAACAUUUGGGAGAAGAACAGAUUAAGACAGUAGCUUAUAUUGAAACAUCACUUCUCAUUUGCUGUUUGGACAAUGGUGAUGGAACUGCUGCUUUAUUGCCCACGGAGAAGCGAAGUGAAGAGUCUAAAGUGGGUCUUGCAGUUACACUGGACAAAAGAAGUUUGAAACUGAGGCUUGGUCCUGAAGAAAACAUAGAGAAGCCUGACAGAUUAUAUAUAUUCACAGCUUUGACUUAAAGGUUGCUGGUUGACCAAUAAGUAAUACAAGAAGAAAUGGUCUUUUCUGGAAUUGUCCUUCUUUCCAGGUAUCAAUGGUGAGCAGAAGAGGAGCAGGGAAUGAUGAAAGACCACACAUUCUCCAAAAGUCACUAAGCACUGUCUGCAGAUGGAACAUUCAUAUUUUCACAUAGUAUAAGUCAUAUGAUCUUUGAUCCUCCAUGUAUUGCUAUCCAGCCAUUUACUUUAGAAUGUCAGCCUUUAUACUGAUAUCACACACAUGUUGUAAAAUGUAGUGAAGAUAAACGGGUGAAGUUAAACUUACAAUGCUUUUGCUGUUAUCCAUAAAAAUGCAAUAGGUAUUGCAUAGAAUUAGUUACAAGCACAAAACUGUGAUACCCUAUAUGCCCCUGUUACAAGAAAGUUGUCAUUUUACAUUAUGGGUAUUUAUUCGAUAUUUUCAUAGUUUAAUUACUAACAAAGCAUUAAUAAUGCCAGAUUGUGCUGACAAACAUUGCAGUCUCUGAAUAGGAGAAAGAAUAUAUUCUUUGCACCAUUAUACAAUGAUUUAGAACUUUAAUAGUGUGCUGGGGAAAAAACAUGUAUCUGUAACCUGAAAUAGUUGUUUUACCUCCCUGAGUACAAAAUAUGUCACACAUUCUCUCCUAAAUGUAUUCUCUAUUUUUACCAGUCAUUUUGUUGCUAAAAUGUAAGAUAUGGGGAUGGGAUGUGGGUGAUUGUCUCCGUCCUUUUGGGCUUCUAUAACUAAAAUACCUUAGACUGGGUAAUUUAUAAACAACAGGAAUUUAUUUCUCACAGUUCUGGGGGCUGGAAAGUCCAAGAUCAAGGCUGUGGUGGGGUUUGGCUGGCGAGGGCUCCAUCCUUCUUGCUAUAUCUUCACAUGGUGGAAGGAGCAAACAAACUCCCCCAGCCCUCUUUUACAAGGGCACUAAUAUUAUUUGUGAGGGCUCCACUCUCAUGACUUAAUCACCUCCCCAAAGACCCUACUUCUUAAUACUAACACAUUGGGGAUUAAUCUUCAACAUAUGAAUUUUGGAGGAACACAAACAUUCAGACCAUAGCAAUGUUUAUUGGGGUGAAUGCUCAUUUAACUUUUCCCAGAACAAUCCCUGUUAAGUCUGCUAACCUCCUGUAGUUAAUGAUAAAAUUUCCUUCAUUUUCCGAAGUGUUCUUGUUUGGAUUAUAAAUUAUGUAAUUACCCUAAUGACAAUUAACUAGACAUUUUUUUUCUUACUGUAUAGCACCAGUAUGGGCAAUUGCAGUGGCUUUCAAACUUGACUACAACUCAGGGAGAAAUACAUUUUUCAUCAUAACGUAGUACACACACACACACACACACACACACACACACACGCACACACACACACACAUACACUAGAUAAAGCAAAAGCUUUAGGAAAUGGUACUUGGAUAUUUUCAAAUAUAUUUUAGUCUGUUUUUUAAUUAAAAAUCUCUAGUCAUGAUACAUUAAAUUGACUUAUUGACCCACAGCUUGAAAAAACACCAAUAUUUUGGAUGUGUUUUAAGGUCAUAGAACACGCCUUCUGAUUUUUUUCCUUCCCUAGGUAAUCCUAUGCAAGUUGCCAAUCUUCUCUAAACAACACUCUUCUUCAUCUAUAAAGUAAAUAUUAAUACCUACCUGAAGGUGGCAGAGAGAGUUAACUGAGAUAAUUUGGUUAAUGAGCCUGAAAUCUAGUCAACACUUACUAAAGGUAAUUUCUUCUCCUCUCUUCCGCUUCUAAACCAACAGGACACAGCUGAAGUUCACAGGUUUGUAAAAGUGAAAAAAUAUUUUUCUUAACCCCCUGACCUCUAAAGUUUGGUCAGAGUGUUUAGCCACUGAUAAAACAUCUUUAAGCACUGUUACUUCUAUGUUCAACUAAAAGAGUCACUUUUCAGUAAUUUCCGGUCAAGCCCAUCACAAUAGCACUUGCAGCUUCUCAAAAGAAAAGAAAGAAAGAGAGAGAAAGAAAGGAAGAAAGAGAAUUGAAGGAGGAAAGAAGGAAAAAAAUCAUGAUGAAGAUUUUAAAACAUGUCUUAUUGAGGGAUGGGAUGGUGAGGAAGUUGAUUAUAGUGAUGGAUGUGACAGACAGGGCCCGUACUUCUGUUUCUGUUCUCAAACUAACAGUUUUCACACAUAACCGUUUUCACACAUAACACAUUAGUAGAAUUUCUUUUGAAUAUUUGCCUUGGAAAUAAAACAAUAAUAAUAUAGCAUUUAUUAUAUUUAUUAUAUAUAGAGUGUGUGUGUGUGUGUGUCUGUGUGUGUGUGUAUCCCACAUGUCCACAUGAGAAAUAAUGAAAGAAGAUGGAGCCCAAGUAAGAGAGUCCUGAUGCCCCAUAAUGCAGAGAGACAAAGAAGUGAUGAAAUCAAGUACUCUACCUCUGGGCCGCCAGAAUCCAGGCCUGGUUCCAGAGUCCUCUGGUUUUCACCGUGUUGGGGUGGGGCCUCCCCGGGUGCACAGCUUUUCUGCACUGGUUGGCAUCUACUGAACCUUAGGUGAUCACAGCAGUGGUAAAGACAAGCCAGCUUCCGUCUUUCCAUAGUUUGUUCCCCUGUACUUCAGGAGGGAGGGGAGCCCCUCUAUGGAAUGCAAUACACACUAGGCAUCCUAUCACUAUGUAAGAACUCAUCUUGCUCCCUCAUUUCACAUUACAUCUUUGACUGUCUUGCUCAGUUGUUUCACCUUGGCUAGUUUUUACUCUUUGGCGAGUACUCUCACAACUCUCUUGUAGGCAGGAGCCCAUUUUCUUUUUCUGAGUACUCUGGACUCCUUGCAUGGUGCUUCCUGGGCAAGGGGUGCUCAACAAAUUGUGCUGAUAAUUAAGUCAUUCACUCAAAAUAUAUUUAUUAAGCACCUAGUGACCAAGACAGAAAAAAGUUACUAUUGACCUUCAAAUCACCAAAUCUAAUGAUCAUUCCUUACUGCUCAUCUUCCUCCACCAUUGCUACCUUAGAGGCCUCCCGUGCCUGCCUCCAUUUCCCAGACUUACUGCUUGAUUCUCCCUGGCAAGCUUUCCCUUCACCAUUUUUUUUUCAGCACUUGUAAGGAACUGAAUCUGUCCCCAAUAGUACACAGUUUGAGUUAGAGCCAGGACUAGAACUCAGGCCUGCAUAUAAUCAAAGAUCAGAAAACGGCCAAAUCUUGGUGUUUCUAUUCACAGGGAGGAAACCCAGAUGGGCCUACUCACAAUACAUGCUUCCAAAUGAAAGAACGUUUUUCCCCCUAAGGACAUUGUUAGGACACUGUCUAGCUAGAAGAUAUUCAGAGAAAAUUCACUCCUUUACCUGCCCUAGGGAAAUGGGAAAAUUCAAUGUUUGAGCCAUUUACCCAAAAGAGUAAUCCAUGCUGGAAAUUUUGCUGAAAGUAUUCUUUUAAAAGGCCCUUCUGUCUUUAUUAUGACGAUAAGACUGCUGAGUCUGCCCAAGCAUAUGAGGUUGCAAAGAAUAUUUCUUUUUAUUCAGACCUUGUAUUCUCUACAUGAUGAAAGGAUUCUUGGCACAUAGUUGGCAAUUACUAUCUAGGUUUUCUGCAUAACAUAGGUUUUUUAAACUAAGCUUUUAACUCAAUAGACAUCAGGCUCCAAUGAAAAUACAUGUGGCCUAACACGAGCAGAAAUAAACACAAUUCUAAUCAACUUAACUGUUGACAAAAGCAUGUGGUUUCAUUGCUUGCGGCCAAAGUUGUAAGAGUGGACUCUGAUUUCUUGCAGGAACACCCCUCAUUUAUGUGUGCAAAUAGGGUAAUUAAGUGUCCAAUUACCAGAUUUGCAUUGGCAAAUGGGGGCUUUGUGUGGGUAAAAUUCUCCAUGGUUUGGGACCAGCUGAAACUUAGGUCUUUUCUUUUUGGAUCAAUCCCCCAACAAUAACACGGGCAUGAUGAAGUUCCCUUCUUGUCCUGAUCUGAAGCCAUGGCUGAAGACUUCCCUUAUUUUGGUAAUUCAGUGAAGCGGAGAGCCAAAGUUAGGAUCUGGGGCCUUUUCUUCCUUACUGUCUACUCUGAAAAAUAAUUAAGCAUUUCAAGUAUUUUCAGACUGACUUUUUUUUUUUCCUGCUGGCUCUGUAGAAUUGAUUACUAAGGUGAAAUACUUGUAAAUAUUCCUUUUAAAAAUUUAACCAUAUGGAAGCAUUAAGUUGAAAGACACUUCAUAAAACAACUUUAUUCUUUUCU